GGGAGGUUCCUAAUGGAGCAGAUAAACAAACUGUGUUGUCUCUGCCAAUCCGGUUUCUCUGCUCACUUUCACAUUUGUACGACUCCGAUGUUGCUCCAGAAAAGUCAUGGAAGCAGUAAUGUGUGUCAGAAAUGGCAGAGCGGCUUUUACUGGAACCAUAAAAGGCCUGCUUCUGCUUUGCACUCUGCUCAGUCUGGUCUGCUUCACAAGGUCCCAUUUUGACAAGGAACAACUGAACCAGUUAAAGGAAAGCCAGCAGCAUGUAAAGGAAGAACUCCAGGAAAUGAAGGAUAAGCAAAAGUACACAAUUGAACCCUUCUUACACUUGAUGAAUCACUACAGCAAAUCAAUGGAUUCGCUGGCAGCAAUGAUGAAGAAAUAUACGGGGAAACUUCCUGAUCAUUUUCUGGUAUUGGACCAAUUGGUGAACCAUGCCAAGGAUUCUGUUGAUAAAAAGAAGUCUUAUGUCGAAAAGAAGGAGUUAGAUGUCAAGAUAGAGAACCUUGAAGAGGACAUAAGACGAACAGACUCGUUAAUUAAUUUGUUGGAAGAGCAGGAAGCUGAAUUAUAAUUUCUCCAAGCAAGAGGGCAUAUGAUCAUCUAUUUUACAUGUCUAUGAAGUUGUGCCUGUUUUUAUCUUUGAAAUCUGAAUCCACAAACCUUUCUUGAAUAAUUUAAAAUUCAACUAAAGAGUUAAGAGAAAUUUACAUCAUGUUGUAUUUGAAAAAUGUUUGUUAACCUCUUAAAAGAUAGAGUCACAAGUAAAAGGCAUUCUAGUCAGUGGGGAAUUUCCCACCAGCAUGGAGCUUCAAUAAACAGCUAACACCGAAGCUAACUGGAUACAUAAACACUGGAGGUGCACACACACACACACACACACACACACACACACACACAUAGAAGACACAAAACACAAGUCCAUCUCCAUGCACCCCGUUACCCCACACGUGGGUUACUAGUAACAUUUGCUAGAUCAACAGAGCUGGUCAAAAGAGGUGUCAAUCAAAGGAGGACCAUCUUGAAACCAGAAUUUUAAAAAUAUAGGUCUUCAGUAUGAACUCUUGGAAAUCAGAUUUUUUUUCAUAUUUAAAAUAUGGUAUUGAUAAAAAAAAAAAUUCCUAGAAUAUCAACAAAUUAAAUCUUUAAUAAGAAAUGAAUUUAAGGUCAUUGAAGGUUGUUGGUUUACAAAUUCCAAUAAAUGUAUUUGAGUUCCUGGAUCUAAAACUCCCAAAAUUGAAUUAUACAGGACACUGUAUAAACUAGAUCAGGGAUUCCCAAACUGUGGCACCCCCAGGGGUGCGCGAGCUGCCACUAGUGGGUGUGCGAGAGGAAAAAUGUAAUGGCAGUCUGACAGUGUUUUUCCCCACA